CCCCAGGCGGAGUGCUUAAUGCGUUAGCUACGGCACUAAACCCCGGAAAGGGUCUAACACCUAGCACUCAUCGUUUACAGCGUGGACUACCAGGGUAUCUAAUCCUGUUUGCUCCCCACGCUUUCGAGCCUCAGCGUCAGUUACAAGCCAGAGAGCCGCUUUCGCCACUGGUGUUCCUCCAUAUAUCUACGCAUUUCACCGCUACACAUGGAAUUCCACUCUCCCCUCUUGCACUCAAGUUAAACAGUUUCCAAAGCCUACUAUGGUUAAGCCACAGCCUUUAACUUCAGACUUAUCUAACCGCCUGCGCUCGCUUUACGCCCAAUAAAUCCGGACAACGCUCGGGACCUACGUAUUACCGCGGCUGCUGGCACGUAGUUAGCCGUCCCUUUCUGGUAAGAUACCGUCACAGUGUGAACUUUCCACUCUCACACUCGUUCUUCUCUUACAACAGAGCUUUACGAUCCGAAAGCCUUCUUCACUCACGCGGCGUUGCUCGGUCAGACUUCCGUCCAUUGCCGAAGAUUCCCUACUGCUGCCUCCCGUAGGAGUCUG
rnacentral:rRNA from 1 species